AGAUAUCGUGCUUUCCAGAAGGGCGUGUUAUCUAAAAGAAUUUCUCGAUAUAUCUGCUUGCACCGUGGCCAAUAUUUAAAACAAACAAAACUUUCAUCAAAUAUGGCGAAAAGACGGGAUGUUGAAAUGCAAAUGAGCUUGCUCUUGACGUCAUAUUAUCGAUAAAAAUUACACGCUCGAGUUUACAUACUGCGUAGGCCGCUCUUAAAAUUGCAAGUGUUUGAAAUUUGUGUUUAAUUUCUCGCUUAAACGUGAGAGAUCUUACUUAAACUUCGCUUGGAACCGUGUGAAGUUCGCUUAAUACUUCAUUUGAACGCUCAUACAACAAGAAGGUAGAUUUACAGCGGCUUGAAAGAUGAUUUCUUGGCGUUUUUAUUUCGUAUUUGCUGUGAUCUUUUACUCGAAAGCAGUACUCUCUUGCUACGACGAUGACGGUUGUUCAGCCUUUGAGACGUGUUGUGAUGACAGCAUUUGUCGUUCUGACUGCCCACGAGACAAUUCAGGAGUGAGCUCGGCAGUCUUGGUCGUCAUCAUAAUCUUUGCCGUCGUUUUUAAAGUCGUAUUUUGGAUUGCUGUUUGUUAUUGUCGACGAAGACGCUAUCGUGGCAUCGUGUUUCAACGAUUCGACACCGCUCCUCGCACGGCAGUUGUCGUCAACUCGUCAAGUACUCAAUCUCAGAUGAUAAAUCCAGUGUCAGGGUAUGCACCCCAGCAGCAAGGUUAUAACCCUCAACAGCACGCAUAUAACCCGCCACAACAAGUACAGCAAGGAUCCCCUGGUUAUGGUUAUCCACCGAAUAAAAUCCCAAAUACAGGCGAUGUUUUCGUGAACCCGGCUAAUAAUCCUCCUCCGCCUUACACCGAUAGCCCUCAGUCUUGAACUGCUACAGUAUAGUUUGUAUCUGAACUAAUUCUGAAUUGUAGUUUGUAGAUUUAUAGAAAGUGUUUAACUUUUUAAGAACGGUUUGUGCUAGUGUAUAGGUAGUGCCAAUAGGCAAUAAUAUUAGAAAACUUCAAAUUGAUAAAGAAGCAACAUCCUGAAGUUUCGAGCGAAUGCCCUUCGUACGCUAAUGACUUCUGCCCUUCGCACGAAGCUCUCCUUGAAUUUGUCGCCUUAUAGUUGCUUUCUUAUCAAUCCGAAAGGUUUCUGAAAUUUUUACGGUAUGAAGUGUUUAUAACAUAAACAAUUUAAAACAGUAUUGUUGAUUUGCAGUAUGGAAUUUUAUGAUAUCUCAAACGUGUGGUGGUCCAGUGUAGGUUGUAUUCUACAAUAAGCUGAUGUUGUUUGUGUCUAAAUUACUAUAUACUAUACAUAUAAAUAUAAUACAACCCUCAACUCUUGAUAUUAUGGGACCUGGAUGUUAUAUAUGCGAUCGUUUGUAGUGUAAAGAAUUUUAGUCCUUUUAGAAAACUGUUAAGGGGGUUCACAUAUAGGUGGUAUUCUACAAUAAGCUGAUAUUGUUUGUGUCUGAAUUACAAUUAUAUUUCUAUAAAUAUAAUGCAACCCUCAACCGUGAUAUUAUAUAUGCGAUCUUGACGUUAUAUGCGAUCGUUUGUAGUGCAAAGGCCUUCAGUUUUUUUCGAACGUCACAUUGAGUUAAAACUUAAAAAUAAUUUUAAGGUAUUUUAGUGUAUUAAUAUAGUAAAAUCGUGCUGUAUUUUAGCCUUGGUUUGAUAUGAUUUGUAGUAUGUAUAUUGCUGACUAGUGUUAUUACAUAGGUAAACAGCAAGGCAAAUUUAAGUCGUAGCCGAAGGCCAUUAUAAAUGCACUCGAAUUUCCACAUCCAAAACACUCCUACAAUUAGGAACUUGAACUUCCUUUUCCUUUAUAAGAACAAAAAAUCUUUGUUUCUUUGAUAUCAAAAGAGGUACGUGCUGAAGCCUAGAGAAUACUUAUGAUUUAUAUGUAGUUUACAUGAGGUGUAAACUAUUAUAAACUGGCCGUUGGGAAAGAUCGACCAUAUGGAAACCAGGCUAAAGCAUAGAUAUCUUAUAUAAACUAGAUACGAUAGCGUAUCUCUUUUAGUAAAAUUGAAGCCAAGAAUAUUCCAGCGGUUACCCCCAUUUGAAUAGACGGUGGCCAUGUUGGAGUUUCCCACUCGCUAAUAAACGCUUAAAAAAACAGCAAUAACUUUCAUCAUUUGAAUAGUUUGAAAAUGUAUUUGGAAUAGGUUUAACUUAAUGUUUAAGUUCCCUGUUUAAGAAAUAGAAAACAUACGAGUCUUCUCAUUUCAUGGGAAUAUCCCGAGUCUGCAAUCACGGCUUCAAUUUUUUGAAUUGCAGAAUAAUUAGAUGCACUAUCUAAUGUAUAUAAGAUAUCUAUGGGCUAAACGCGGAAAAUAAGCAGCGGAUCAGAGGAGUUAUCCGAUCCGAUCCAGCAAGCGAUUUACAGUAAAAGGACAAGUGGAAUGAUCGGAUCGGCAAAGGAAAAAAAUGGAGCUCGUUCCAGUCUUACAUCCUCCAUUUUGUAUAAAUUUAUACAUGAGGUAUUAUCUGUGGUGUUAUUUAAUUAUUUUAAUUUAUGUGACAUAAUACGGCAUUUAUUAGAUUGGUCACCAGGUUUAAUCCGCGGGACCGAACCAAAAAAAAGUUGAAAAUAUUUCAACUUUUUAUUUAUCCGGCCAGCAACGUCGCCGGAUCAAUCGAAACCAAACGUUUCUACUGAUGGCGCAUGCGCGGAUUUUUGUUUUGUUCCGAUCCGCUGCUUAUUUUCCGGAGUGGAAAUUAGCCUUUAAGUGGUAAGUAAAAUAAUUGAAUUAGAUCAUUCUAGAAUCAUAUAAAAUUCUAUAUUAUAUUUGUAACGUUUCAAAUUAUAGAAUUUGAUACCUGUUCGCUUUCAACUAAUUUGAAUCACAAAGCAUUUGACUUUUUUUAGUCCGUAAAUUGCACGAAACGCAUCGAGUAUAUACACGCUCGCAUUUUACACAGACACAGUGCGUGCUUAGCUGCUCUUAAAAAUUGCAAAUAUUUACAAUUAUACUUUUGAUUUUUUCGCUUAAACUUGAGAGAAUCUUGCCUAAAAAGUUCUUGAAAACUUUAUACAUAAAGAAGGCGCAUUUGGAGCGGCUUUAAAGAUGAUUUCUUGGCGUUUCUAUUUCGUAUUUGUUGUGGCUUUCCACUCGAAGUCAGUAGAAUGCUCAAGCGACAAUUCAGGCAUGUGCUCGGCAAAAGUCGUCCCCAUAAGCGUUGCUGCCGUUUUAAAACUCAUAUAUAUUUGUGGUUGCUGUUAUUUGCUGGCGAGGAAGGCGCUGUCGACGAAAGCGCAAUCCUGACAAUGAUGAAAUUGUGAUUCAACGACACAACACCGAUCCUCCCGCGGCUGUUGUUGCCAAUUUGUCAAAUAUUGGAAUGAUGAAUACAGCAUCAGGAUAUACACCAGAGCAACGUGGUUAUGAUCCUCAAGAACAGGCAUAUUACCCUCCACAACAGGCACAGCAAGGAUUUCCUGGUUGUGGCUAUCGCACAGAAUACAAUCCGGCGAUGGUUUGGUGAACCCGGCGAAUAACCCUCCUCCCCCCAAACACCGACAGCCCUCAAUCUUGUAUAGCCACAGUAUAGUCUGUAUAUAUCUGAACUAUAAUGAUAAACUAUAUAGUUUGUAGAUUUAUAUAAAUAGGUUAACUUUUUACCACUCUGCUUUUUACGGUAUAUAUAAGUGUUGUAACAUAAAAAAUUUAAAACAGAAAUGUAGAUGCACAGUAUGGAAUCUUAUGAUAUCUCAAACGUGUGGGCAGUGGCGUAGCCAGCAAUUUAAGCCAGCG
rnacentral:lncRNA from 1 species